CAUACUGAUUGAUUUCCAGAGAUUCUGGCCUGCAUGGGGCAGAGUCUGACAGAAUAGUGGGCAGGUCAGUGUUGUAACUAUAAUUUUCCAUGUCGAAGAGAUCUUCCAAGCUGUAAUUAUCCCAGUCUACUUCCAUAUUUGAGGCAAACUUAAAUCCUGGCCUAGAGAAGAGAGGUGAGAGUUACUGCACAGGAACAUCUCCCCAGACUCUAGCCUGUUUGCCCAUAAACCUCUGACUCUUCGCUUUGGCUUGUAUAUUACAUGCAAGCAAGUUUCAUGUUAGGAAAUAGUGGCUCUAGGGUUUUGAGACUCAUUUACUUAAUGAUAAGUGGUACACUGCAUGAAGAGUAUAGUUCCUUUCAAAGCCAGAGAGGUUCUGAGCACUUUCCACGACACCACCAUCACCCAAAACAUUGUUGAAACUUCCCUUCAAAUAAUCCCUAUAGAGCAUGUCUUGGAUUCUUCAGUGGUGAGCAUGUCUGGCUGUUGAGGCUGAAUUUAAUGUCAGAAACAUGAGGUACCAUUUAGUUCUUGAUCUGGGGGAUGAAGCAGGCAAUCCAGUUGGGUUUGACCACUAGAAAAAGAUCAAGGUUUGACUAUAAAGCUGAGGGAGGAAGCCCUUUGUCCAACUUUUUGAAAGUUAUUUAAAAGAAGUGUGCGGGGAAACAGAUUUAGCGGUAACAGCAUACAGUUGCAAGAUACUUGAGCUAGAAGUAUUACUCGAUACAGCCCAGUAUUUUCCUUUCAGAAUGCAGGAGACCUGCAGUGGGAGUAUUUGUGUAGUUUGGAAAAAAAUAUAUUAAAAAUCCUAAGCAGGCGGCUGAUUGAUUCUCCAAGUGGGUGGCAAUGAAACAGAGUGUCUUGGGAGCUCUAAGGAGCCAUAUUGUGUCAUGCAGAGGUGAGCAGAGAAAGCCAGCAUGCUCCCAGCAUGAGGAGCAGAGGCAGCAGGAAGCAGAGAAGACAGGUGGAGACACACUAUCCUUGUUUUGGUGGCUUUCCAGUUCUGGUGGGGAUACUCUCUGUCCUGCUAGGGAGUGCCUUCAUCCAUCAUUGACUCCCCAGCACCCCCAGACUCUCCCCAGGUAAACCCACUUCUCUUGGCUCUGCCCUUGUUACGGGGAUAGCCCAAAGCCUGCCUCUGGAGGAAGCUGCAGUCACUCUGAAAUAUGAACCCAGUUUUCAAACAGGAAGUAAAUGAAAAUAGACUAGCUACCAAAUUAGUUGCUUUUGAACCACAAAAUAUGUGACCAUUGUGCCAUUUCUUUAUACCGAGGUAUGACCAUCCUGUGACUGUAUGCAAGUCUGUGACCCACCUCAAAAUGGAACCAGUGUCAAAGAGAAAAAACAUAAAGUAAAUGGUUCUGGAAUUACUUCAAUACUAACUAGGAUCACCGUAAUAAAACAAGAUGGACAGCAACGAUGUUGACAAGGAUGUGGAGAAAUUGGACCCCUUAUACAUUGUCUUAUCCAGGGGCAGAGGAAACCUACCUACUUGGAAAGAUGGUCCCACAGAGCAUCUGAGCUGGAAGGAGGAACUUUAGAGAUCCAACUGUCUCCUUUUGCAAAUCAAGGACCAGAGGCCAGAGAGGGAAGGCCAAUUUCUCAAGGAAGCCCCAGCUCAUGGUGAAUCCAGAGUCUCGCAGCUUCUCUGCACCUCCACGACCAGAGAGCAUUCAGAGGCACCCCUGCCCUCCCCUUCCUCAUCGCUGUCCCUGCUUCCACCUUGGUUCCUUACAGACUGGCUCCACAGAGCAGCGGGCUCGAGCCCUUGAAAGCACAGAUCAGUCCAGAAUAGGCACAUCUAUGGGGACAAAUCAGUAGUUGCCUAGGGCUGGGGGGUUGGGAGGAAGUGGGCAGUGGAUGCUAAUGGUACAGGGUUUCUCUUUGGGCUGAUUAAAAUGUCCUAAAACUGA